GUGAAAGCGGGUGCUUGCACUCGUGGAUCAGUGGCGAACGGGUGAGUAACACGUGAGUAACCUGCCCUCCACUCUGGGAUAAGCGCUGGAAACGGCGUCUAAUACUGGAUACGACCAACCCUCGCAUGGGGUGUUGGUGGAAAGAUUUAUCGGUGGUGGAUGGACUCGCGGCCUAUCAGCUUGUUGGUGGGGUAAUGGCCUACCAAGGCGACGACGGGUAGCCGGCCUGAGAGGGCGACCGGCCACACUGGGACUGAGACACGGCCCAGACUCCUACGGGAGGCAGCAGUGGGGAAUAUUGCACAAUGGGCGAAAGCCUGAUGCAGCGACGCCGCGUGAGGGAUGACGGCCUUCGGGUUGUAAACCUCUUUCAGCAGGGAAGAAGCUUUUGUGACGGUACCUGCAGAAGAAGCACCGGCUAACUACGUGCCAGCAGCCGCGGUAAUACGUAGGGUGCGAGCGUUGUCCGGAAUUAUUGGGCGUAAAGAGCUUGUAGGCGGUUUGUCGCGUCUGCUGUGAAAAUUCAGGGCUUAACCCUGGACGUGCAGUGGGUACGGGCAGACUAGAGUGUGGUAGGGGAGACUGGAAUUCCUGGUGUAGCGGUGGAAUGCGCAGAUAUCAGGAGGAACACCGAUGGCGAAGGCAGGUCUCUGGGCCAUUACUGACGCUGAGAAGCGAAAGCAUGGGGAGCGAACAGGAUUAGAUACCCUGGUAGUCCAUGCCGUAAACGUUGGGCGCUAGGCGUGGGUCUCAUUCCACGAGAUCCGUGUCGCAGCUAACGCAUUAAGCGCCCCGCCUGGGGAGUACGGCCGCAAGGCUAAAACUCAAAGGAAUUGACGGGGGCCCGCACAAGCGGCGGAGCAUGCUGAUUAAUUCGAUGCAACGCGAAGAACCUUACCAAGGCUUGACAUGCACCGGAUCGCCUCAGAAAUGGGGUUUCCCUUUGGGCUGGUGCACAGGUGGUGCAUGGUUGUCGUCAGCUCGUGUCGUGAGAUGUUGGGUUAAGUCCCGCAACGAGCGCAACCCUCGUUCUAUGUUGCCAGCACGUGAUGGUGGGGACUCAUAGGAGACUGCCGGGGUCAACUCGGAGGAAGGUGGGGAUGACGUCAAAUCAUCAUGCCCCUUAUGUCUUGGGCUUCAAGCAUGC
rnacentral:rRNA from 1 species